AUUGUUCACUCUCCCUCAAAGACUUCCAUAAUUUCUUUCGCAAAGAAGUCACUUUGGAAGUUUUUGGAGAGAGUUGAUAA
rnacentral:pre_miRNA from 1 species